AAAAACAGCCCCCGAAGUUCGGGGUCCCAAGACCCCCCAGCGGAAAAAUGGCCAAAAAACGGUGGGCUAUAGCCUUGGUGGGGGGCGUGGGCGAAGUUCGUCCGUGGGACUCGGAAUGGCACCAGACUUGGCGGGCGGCCUCCGGGUACCAAAAAUAGGCCACGGGCACAGCCGCGCCCAAAAAACAGCCCCCGAAGUUCGGGGUCCCAAGACCCCCCAGCGGAAAAAUGGCCAAAAAACGGUGGGCUAUAGCCUUGGUGGGGGGCGUGGGCGAAGUUCGUCCGCGGGACUCGGAAUGGCACCGGACUUGGCGGGCGGCCUCCGUGUGCCAAAAAUAGGCCACGGGCACAGCCGCGCCCAAAAAACAGCCCCCGAAGUUCGGGGUCCCAAGUCCCCCCAGCGGAAAAAUGGCCAAAAAACGGGUGGGCUAUAGCUUUGGUGGGGGGCGUGGGCGAAGUUCGUCCGCGGGACUCGGAAUGGCACCAGACUUGGCGGGCGGCCCUCUGUGUGUCUAAAAUAGGCCACGGGCACAGCCGCGCCCAAAAAACAGCCCCCGAAGUUCGGGGUCCCAAGACCCCCCAGCGAAAAAAUGGCCAAAAAACGGGUGGGCUAUAGCCUUGGUGGGGGGCGUGGGCGAAGUUCGUCCGCGGAACUCGGAAUGGCACCAGACUUGGCAGGCGGCCUCCGUGUGCCAAAAAUAGGCCACGGGCACAGCCGCGCCCAAAAACAGGCCCCGAUGAUCGGGGUCCCAAGACCCCCCAGCGGAAAAAUGGCCAAAAAACGGGUGGGCUAUAGCCUUGGUGGGGGGCGUGGGCGAAGUUCGUCCGCGGGACUCGGAAUGGCACCAGACUUGGCGGGCGGCCUUCGUGUGCCAAAAAUAGGCCACGGGCACAGCCGCGCCCAAAAAACAACCCCCGAAGUUCGGGGUCCCAAGACCCCCCAGCGGAAAAAUGGCCAAAAAACGGUGGGCUAUGGCCUUGGUGGGGGGCGAGGGCGAAGUUCGUCCGCGGGACUCGGAAUGGCACCAGACUUGGCGGGCGGCCUCCGUGUGCCAAAAAUAGGCCACGGGCACAGCCGCGCCCAAAAAACAACCCCCGAAGUUCGGGGUCCCAAGACCCCCCAGCGGAAAAAUGGCCAAAAAACGGUGGGCUAUAGCCUUGGUGGGGGGCGUGGGCGAAGUUCGUCCGCGGGACUCGGAAUGGCAACGGACUUGGCGGGCGGCCUCCGUGUGCCAAAAAUAGGCCACGGGCACAGCCGCGCCCAAAAAACAGCCCCCGAAGUUCGGGGUCCCAAGUCCCCCCAGCGGAAAAAUGGCCAAAAAACGGGUGGGCUAUAGCCUUGGUGGGGGGCGUGGGCGAAGUUCGUCCGCGGGACUCGGAAUGGCACCAGACUUGGCGGGCGGCCUCCGUGUGCCAAAAAUAGGCCACGGGCACAGCCGCGCCCAAAAAACAGCCCCCGAAGUUCGGGGUCCCAAGACCCCCCAGCGAAAAAAUGGCCAAAAAAUGGGUGGGCUAUAGCCUUGGUGGGGGGCGUGGGCGAAGUUCGUCCGCGGAACUCGGAAUGGCACCAGACUUGGCAGGCGGCCUCCGUGUGCCAAAAAUAGGCCACGGGCACAGCCGCGCCCAAAAAACAGGCCCCGAAGAUCGGGGUCCCAAGACCCCCCAGCGGAAAAAUGGCCAAAAAACGGGUGGGCUAUAGCCUUGGUGGGGGGCGUGGGCGAAGUUCGUCCGCGGGACUCGGAAUGGCACCAGACUUGGCGGGCGGCCUCCGUGUGCCAAAAAUAGGCCACGGGCACAGCCGCGCCCAAAAAACAGCCCCCGAAGUUCGGGGUCCCAAGACCCCCCAGCGGAAAAAUGGCCAAAAAACGGUGGGCUAUGGCCUUGGUGGGGGGCGAGGGCGAAGUUCGUCCGCGGGACUCGGAAUGGCACCAGACUUGGCGGGCGGCCUCCGUGUGCCAAAAAUAGGCCACGGGCACAGCCGCGCCCAAAAAACAACCCCCGAAGUUCGGGGUCCCAAGACCCCCCAGCGGAAAAAUGGCCAAAAAACGGUGGGCUAUAGCCUUGUGGGGGUGCGUGGGCGAAAUUCGUCCGCGG
rnacentral:lncRNA from 1 species